AUAUGAACCGUUAUAACCGGCGAUUUCCGAAUGGGGAAACCCAGUGUGUUUCGACACACUAUCAUUAACUGAAUCCAUAGGUUAAUGAGGCGAACCGGGGGAACUGAAACAUCUAAGUACCCCGAGGAAAAGAAAUCAACCGAGAUUCCCCCAGUAGCGGCGAGCGAACGGGGAGGAGCCCAGAGCCUGAAUCAGUGUGUGUGUUAGUGGAAGCGUCUGGAAAGGCGCGCGAUACAGGGUGACAGCCCCGUACACAAAAAUGCACAUAUUGUGAGCUCGAUGAGUAGGGCGGGACACGUGGUAUCCUGUCUGAAUAUGGGGGGACCAUCCUCCAAGGCUAAAUACUCCUGACUGACCGAUAGUGAACCAGUACCGUGAGGGAAAGGCGAAAAGAACCCCGGCGAGGGGAGUGAAAAAGAACCUGAAACCGUGUACGUACAAGCAGUGGGAGCCUCUUAAUGGGGUGACUGCGUACCUUUUGUAUAAUGGGUCAGCGACUUAUAUUCUGUAGCAAGGUUAACCGAAUAGGGGAGCCGAAGGGAAACCGAGUCUUAACUGGGCGUUAAGUUGCAGGGUAUAGACCCGAAACCCGGUGAUCUAGCCAUGGGCAGGUUGAAGGUUGGGUAACACUAACUGGAGGACCGAACCGACUAAUGUUGAAAAAUUAGCGGAUGACUUGUGGCUGGGGGUGAAAGGCCAAUCAAACCGGGAGAUAGCUGGUUCUCCCCGAAAGCUAUUUAGGUAGCGCCUCGUGAAUUCAUCUCCGGGGGUAGAGCACUGUUUCGGCAAGGGGGUCAUCCCGACUUACCAACCCGAUGCAAACUGCGAAUACCGGAGAAUGUUAUCACGGGAGACACACGGCGGGUGCUAACGUCCGUCGUGAAGAGGGAAACAACCCAGACCGCCAGCUAAGGUCCCAAAGUCAUGGUUAAGUGGGAAACGAUGUGGGAAGGCCCAGACAGCCAGGAUGUUGGCUUAGAAGCAGCCAUCAUUUAAAGAAAGCGUAAUAGCUCACUGGUCGAGUCGGCCUGCGCGGAAGAUGUAACGGGGCUAAACCAUGCACCGAAGCUGCGGCAGCGACACUAUGUGUUGUUGGGUAGGGGAGCG
rnacentral:rRNA from 1 species